GAUGAACGCUAGCGGCAGGCCUAAUACAUGCAAGUCGUACGAUAGAAGAGGGCUUGCUCUCUUCGAAAGUGGCGCACGGGUGCGUAACGCGUAUGCAACCUACCUUAAUCAGGGGGAUAGCCCGAAGAAAUUCGGAUUAACACCGCAUAAAAUCACAGUACAGCAUUGUACGAUGAUCAAUUAUUUAUAGGAUUAAGAUGGGCAUGCGUGACAUUAGCUAGUUGGCGGGGUAACGGCCCACCAAGGCGACGAUGUCUAGGGGAUCUGAGAGGAUGACCCCCCGCACUGGUACUGAGACACGGACCAGACUCCUACGGGAGGCAGCAGUAAGGAAUAUUGGUCAAUGGAGGCAACUCUGAACCAGCCAUGCCGCGUGCAGGAAGACGGCCCUCUGGGUUGUAAACUGCUUUUAUUCGGGAAUAAACCUCAUUAUGUAUAGUGAGCUGAAUGUACCGAAGGAAUAAGGAUCGGCUAACUCCGUGCCAGCCGCCGCCGUAA
rnacentral:rRNA from 1 species